AGAUUGCCACAUAUGUUAGCUCAGGGACAAUCUUCCUCAAGCAAAAAAAAGAGAGGAAGAUUGGUAACAGAUGUUAGCUCAGGGCCAAUCUUCCUCACCAACAGACAAAAAAAGACUUGAAUGAUCUCAAUUAUAAACUUCUAAUUUUCAUGGAUUUUCAGAGAUGGCACACCAGGUAAAAUGAUUCAAAAUACUAAACAUAUAUGUUCAUGUAAUACUUUUUUGAAAUUAGGAAAAUUUUUUGGUGGAGUAAAUACUCACUAUAAAUAAAGUUAAUAGAUACUUCUAUCAGCAUUUCUUAAGAACUUUGUGAACCCCAAGUAGAUUUUUACAAGAUAAUGAUCUUGAGCUGUGUUAGAGAUUAAUUCUUAUGACUUAAUCAGCAAUUGAUACUAUAUGAUAUAUGCUGAAAACUAUUUUAUUUUUACUCAAUUUUUAUCAAAAAUGUGAUUUUAUUUGAUCCAAAGUCUUUUACUGCCAAAGAAAUUCUUAAGACCAUUAUUCCUAUCUUAACUGUACUGAAAGUAUAUUCCCACUGGAACGUGUCAUACAUCUCGCCCUCUCCACCCCCCACCAACAUCACAUUACAUUAUAAAGCCUAUAUUUUGAUUGUUUUUGAGUACUUAUGUCAACUGUUAAAGCAUAUGACUGAUUUUUUCACCCAUAUAUUUUUUGCCAACUUAGCCACUAAUAAAGAAAAAAAUAAAGAUCAUUGAUUCAAACUACAUGAAUUUGUCUCUUGAUGCUUUUUGUUUGUUUUGAGAAGAGAAUUUAUAUGCAUCGAAUAUUUUUCUGAAAAUUUUGUUCUGUUUAGCUUAUUAACAUUUUUAUUUUGCGGGACAGAGAACACAAAAGUAUACAUUGUAUAGUAGAAUGUUUAAAACACUUGCCUCCAAGCACUGUUAAAAAUUUUAUCUGGUACUUUCUUCCAUAAAGGAGAUUAAGGUCAUUUUAAGACUUUCAUAGAUCUGGCUUAAUCAGUGAAAGUACUGAUUAGAACUUGGUUUUGGAGGCCUCCAGUCCCACAUCAUAUCAAACAUAUUAAAAUGCACCCAUAUAUCACAUAAAAUAUAUGUAACUAACAAUUGAGUUUACAAAUGACAUAAUGGUAAGCUUUGCAGACAUCUAAUUAAGUAUUUGUUCAUUUUGAUUUGCAGCUUUCUUUUCAUAUUUUGAAGUAACUUUUUUCCAGAUCCCCAACAUUUUCAGAGGAGCUUCAGAAACAUAAAAGCCAGUAAGUUCAUCAGCUUCUAAGGAAUCAGCUACAGAGAUGGCAGAACUGAAUGAUGCAUAAAUAAGUGGAUCUAAAAUGGAGAUUUAUCUGAGCAGGCAUUCUCACUGCUGAGAGUAAACUAAGGAAGUAUCCAGUGGUUGUUGGAUAAUGAUGAAUUUAUGAACAGAAGAAGGAACGGUAGGUCUCCGCACUCUCAAGCCUAGCUUUCAGCUAAUCCACAGUCAAUGUCUCUGGGUGUCCUGAGCUUAAGAUGAUCCUUCAUUUAAGAACGGGAAACAAUUCAUCUCUCUUCCCUGAUCCAUCCACUGGACUAAUUGAAGUUACCAGGUGACCUGACGAAUAGUCUAGAUCAUCUUAAAAUUUGUCAGGAAAUUUGCUGUAUACUAUGGUUGAACAUCAAAUUCAACCCCAGGUUCUUGGUAGCAAUUCUCAUCUGAUAAAAGGAAGCCUACAGUUCUUAAAAAUAUUUCUUGGCACAAAAAUUUAAACGGGGAAAUUAUGAUUUAUAAAGUGGCAUCAAGGAGCCCAGUGGUCGUAAUGCCUUUAACAGUUUCACAGGAAAUGCAGACGUGUUCUUCAAGCUCAUGUCAGCGGGAAGGCACAAAUAAAAUGGUUCAUCAGCCGAAUUUGCCUGGAAGACUUGCGAGCAGAUUUAGAGCCCUGCUAUAAUAAAUACAUUGUUUUUGUUUGAGCAAUUUGAAAAAAUAAAUCAAUUGCUUAAACAACUAAAA